UCUCUCUCUCUCUCUCUCUCUGUCUCUCUCUCUCUCACACACACAUACACACACACACACACACACACACACUUUUUUUUUUAAGUAGAAACUAUAUUGGAAAACAGUUUCCUUAAGUUCUCAAAUUGGUGAACUGUUUCUGGGCCUGCUUUUCACAGACGUUGAGCUUCUCCAUGAGCGUCCCUCAGUUGAAGGUAGACACUGUAGGCAUUGUUGCUUCAUGAUGCUGCACCUCUGACCAUCUUGCUGAGGGAGCCUGGCAGUCAGUGUGAAUACAGGCUAGUGUGAAUACACUCCUCAUGUCUGCUCAGCCUUUUAUCUUCUGCUCACUAAGUACCAUACUCCCCAAAGUGACCAGCAAGCAGGCUUGCUAAAGGCUUCCUUCUACCAUCCUCUCUGUUCAGUGCCAACACAUAUGAAGAUGAAGCAAAAAGAAAAUAUCUUAAAAUGGUCUACCAGUUAAAACACAUUGCCCUGGGUGCCCCCAUUUUAAGUCCUGCAUCAGCGGCCAGCCUCAGAGAGGCAGACUACAAAGAUUGUCUUUCCUGUUCGACUAUGAAAGCAAGCGGUUGGGUACCUGUAACAUCCAUUUUUUUGCUUGAUACACAAAAUCUUGGGGGUGGGAGAUCAUUUCUAGCCUCUGUGUGUCGUCUGAGGCCCAUCCUAACCCCUUCCCUCUGCUUCCUUCCUUGGUAACACUCUCCCAGAAGUAGCUGCGAUGCUCUGAGAGGCCAGGCUGCUCCACCCCAGCACUUGUGCGGAUUUCUGCGGGCUGUGCUUACCCCGCGGCUCCAGCCCCCAUGCCAACAGCACUUUCUUACUUCUGUGAGAAAGCCAGCCAUGCCAGAAGGCUGUGUACUUGAAGAUUUUCAUUCCAGGAGAACCAUAAUCAGUUUGGCCAUCCAGAAUGGAAAGAAGAAGAAAAGAAAAGGCUUGACACUCAGUGGCAGACAUGUAAAAAUUACUGCGUGCCCCCCAGAGACAAAGGACAAGGUGCUACUUAAACACCGAAGCUCAAGUUCAUGGCAAGAAAGUCAAUGGACCAGAAGCCCGGUACUUCAUUGCAGGGCCACAGGAGACCUCUGGGACUCUCAUUCAGAAGUAAUCUGCCCCCCCCUGAGACUUCAUAAAUGUUAAUGAUUAUUUCACCUCAAUUCUCUAUCCAAAAAAACUCCUAAAAUCUGACUCCUCUUCCCCAUCGCCAGAUGACCUCAAAUCCAUUGCACUUCUAGCCUCCGUGGCAGGAAACAUAAAGGGAUGUUUUAAG
rnacentral:lncRNA from 1 species